ensembl:snoRNA SNORA13 small nucleolar RNA SNORA13
UGCCUUUGUGUUGCCCGCUCAUUUUUGUUACUAAUGAUUGUGGUGUCAAGAAAGGCAUAAAGAAAGUCCUUCUGCAGUAUUAUUUGAUACUGGGGAUUAAUCUCUCCCCUGAUUCUGCUGAAUAAGGGACAGUU